rnacentral:rRNA from 1 species
AGAGUUUGAUCAUGGCUCAGAAUCAACGCUGGCGGCGUGCCUAACACAUGCAAGUCGAACGGGAAAGGGGCUUCGGCCCCGAGUAGAGUGGCGGACGGGUGAGUAACGCGUGGGUGAUGGGCCCUUCAGUGGGGGAUAACCCGGGGAAACCCGGGCUAAUACCGCAUGAGCCUGAGCGAUCAGGGAAAGGCCGAAAGGUUGUUGAAGGACCAGCCCGCGUCCGAUUAGCUGGUUGGUGGGGUAAGGGCCUACCAAGGCGACGAUCGGUAGCCGGUCUGAGAGGACGGACGGCCACACUGGAACUGAGAGACGGUCCAGACUCCUACGGGAGGCAGCAGUGGGGAAUUCUGGGCAAUGGGCGAAAGCCUGACCCAGCAACGCCGCGUGGAGGAAGAAGAUUUUCGGAUCGUAAACUCCUGUCCGGGGGGACGAAGCAAGUGACGGUACCCCUGGAGGAAGCCCCGGCUAACUCCGUGCCAGCAGCCGCGGUAAUACGGGGGGGGCGAGCGUUGUUCGGAAUUACUGGGCGUAAAGGGCGCGUAGGCGGUUUCGGAAGUCAUGGGUGAAAGCCCCCGGCUCAACCGGGGAACGGCCUGUGAAACCACGGGACUGGAGUGCUGGAGAGGAGAGUGGAAUUCCCAGUGUAGCGGUGAAAUGCGUAGAUAUUGGGAGGAACAUCUGAGGCGAAGGCGGCUCUCUGGACAGACACUGACGCUGAGGCGCGAAAGCCAGGGGAGCAAACGGGAUUAG